UUCCACUAGUCCACGCUGGCAUGGGAGAGUGAGUAGACAUUAGAUACACGGAGAGAUGGUGUUUGAAGGGCGCGUGUGUGCAGCUGCCUUAUUUAACCUCGAUUUUCUCUCAAGACGGUGACACGUGCCAGUGGAAGCUUAAUGGCUGCCGGCAGGUGCUCGUGAGGGCCAGAAACACUUAUAAUAUUGACAAGCGACCCACCAGCUGCUUGGCCAGCUGGCGGACUGGUCACAGACGCCAUGGUGCAAUAGGAGACUACCCGAUCCCGUGCCUCCCGCCCUGCCCCACCCAGACACCAUGGCCCGGCAGCGACACCAUUCCACCUGCUACAUGAUGCUGGCUGACGCACUCCUGACGUGGCAGCGACAGGAGGCGGAGGGCAGGAGCAAGAGUCGGGUGGUGAAGGAAGGCGUGACGGAAGAGGUGGUGGCUGUGGAGGGUGUUCGUGCAGGGUAUCUCGGCAGGGUCUAAGUUAGAGCAAAUGGAUGAUGAGAGACUAGUAAGAAGGAUGUUUGUGUGGAAUAUUAGGAGUAGCAGUUGGGGGAAGAAGUGUGUUAGGAUGGUAGUAAAGAGUGGCUUGGAAACUAGUUGGGCUUUUGAGUGGUUGAGUGAAGGCUUGUUGAGAGUGACUGAAGUAUGAGUGUCAGAAAUGGAGAGGGUUUAGAAUGUUAUGUAAGUAAGUGGAGAAGUGAGGUAGACACAGCGAUGAAGCACAUGGGAUUGAGUGAGUCACGUGUGGAAAAUUGUGGGAUGGAGCGAGCCAGGUGUGGAAAAGUGUGGAAAUUGUGUUGAAAAAGUGUAGAAAUUGUGGGAUUGAGUGAGCCAGGUAUGGAAAUUGUGUAGAAAAGUGGAAAAAGUGUGGAAAAAGUGUGGGAAUUGUGUUGAAAAAGUGUGAACAUUGUGGGAUUGAGUGAGCCAGGUGUGGAGGAGUGACAGACAGACAGAGCCAUGAAGCAUGUGGGGUUGAGUGAGCCAGGUGUGGAGGAGUGACAGACAGACAGAGCGAUGAAGCACGUGGGGUUGAGUGAGCCAGAUGUGUCACUUGGGGACGACUGUGAGCCAACCCAGGACCAACGGCUGAUGACGCUCAAUGAUGGAAUUAGAAGCUGCAUGAAUUGUUUAUGUAGAUUUUAGAAGCUGUCUGAAUUGUUUAUGUAAAUCUGAAGCACUUACUUUGAAUUGAAGGCUUGGACCAUGUAAUAUCUUUGUAAUUCUUCUGUACCAUUGUCAUAAGUUCCUUAGAUAACUCACUACAGUUUUGUCUCUAUCUAAUAAUAUGUACAUUUACUCAAACUGCAUUUUCUUUCAGUGUGCAGGUUUGCAGUAAACCUCCCUGAAGGUUCCAGAGCUGCUCAGCAAGUGUCCAGCCCAGCCUGUCACAAGACUAUGUGACAGUGGACCUUCCACUCAUACUGAAAACAGCUGUGCACUGCCACUCACAGGAAGUGGUGACCACUCUAGAUUGAGUUGCCUUGAAGCUGAGAUGAGUUGGUCAGCUAGUGAGUGGCUUCAAUAAAGUGACUGUGAGGUGUUGGCUUCAAUAAAGUGACUGUGAGGUGUUGCCUUCAAUCAAGUGACUGUGAGGUGUUGGCUUCGAUCAAGUGACUGUGAGGUGUUGGCUUCGAUCAAGUGACUGUGAGGUGUUGGCUUCGAUCAAGUGACUGUGAGGUGUUGGGCAUGGUAUUGUGUUAUUGCAAGUGUAACCAUUAAUAAGUAAGUUCUUUCCUUAUAACUCUUCAUACAUGGAUUGCCAUACAUGGACGGAUAAGGCCCUUGUACAGAGUCAUCAGCUGGGGGUGAGAAAAACUGGUGGAGACGUCUCAGAACGCCUAACUUCACAGAAGCUGUUUUAGCUAGAGAUGAAAUGUGAAGUUUCUAGUUUAGAUCAUAAGUAAAGGACAGACCAAGGAUGUUCAGUGUAGAAGAGGGGGACAGUUGAGUGUCAUUGAAGAAGAGGGGAUAGUUUGGAAGACUGUGUUGAGUUGAUAGAUGGAGGAAUUGAGUUUUUGAUGCACUGAACAAUACCAAGUUUGCUCUGCCCCAAUCAGAAAUUUUAGAGAGAUGAGAAGUGAGGCGUUCUGUGGCUUCCCUGUGUGAACUGUUUACUUCCUGAAGGGUUGGAUGUCUAUGAAAAGACAUGGAAAAGUGCAGGGUGAUGUCAUCAGCGUAGGAGUGGAUAGGACAAGAAGUAUGGGUUAGAAGAUCAUUAAUGAAUAAUAAGAGAGUGGGUGACAGGACAGAACCCUGAGGAACACCACUGUUAAUAGAUUUAGCAGAAGAACAGUGACCGUCUACCACAGCAGCAAUAGAAUGGUCAGAAAGGAAACUUGAGAUGAAGUUACAGAGAGAAGGAUAGAAACUGUAGGAGGGUAGUUUGGAAAUCAAAGCUUUGUGCCAGACUCUAUCAAAGGCUUUUGAUAUGUCCAAGGCAACAGCAAAAGUUUCACCAAAAUCUCUAAAAGAGGAUGACCAAGACUCAGUAAGGAAAGCCAGAAGAUCACCAGUAGAGCGGCCUUGACGGAAUCCAUACUGGUGAUCAGAUAGAAGGUUGUGAAGUGAUAGAUGUUUAACAAUCUUCCUGUUGAGGAUAGAUUCAAAAACUUUAGAUAGGCAGGAAAUUAAAGCAAUAGGACUGUUGUUUGAGGGAUUAAAACUACUACUACUACUACUACUACUACUACUACUACUACUACUACUACUACUACUACUACUACUACUACUACUACUACUACUACUACUACUCACAUCUUGCCUGACUGCCAGACCAACAUUUACUGUGUAGAAAUGGCACAGUCUACUCCUUUAGUUCUUUUCCUUUCUAGAAUGUGCAUAUCAGUGUACCCUGUCGUGCCUCCCAUGCUGUGUAAUGCUGCAGUGUUGAUUGUGUGUGUGUGUUUCCCUCAGGUGGUACUGUGGAUAGCAAGCGGAAGAGACCUUGGGAGACUUCCGUUAAUGAGGAGCAACAAGCACACCUCACUGGAGUCUCAGGAACCAACAGUCAGGGCCUGAUGUGAAGGUGUCUGCAGCCAGUGUUUGGUGUCCUCUGUGCCUGCCUGGUGGUGCCUCAUUGCAGGGCUGAUGUGAAGGUGUCUGCAGCCAGUGGUGGUGCCUCAUUGCAGGGCCUGAUGUGAAGGUGUCUGCAGCCAGUGGUGGUGCCUCAUUGCAGGGCCUGAUGUGAAGGUGUCUGCAGCCAGUGGUGGUGCCUCAUUGCAGGGCCUGAUGUGAAGGUGUCUGCAGCCAGUGGUGGUGCCUCAUUGCAGGGCCUGAUGUGAAGGUGUCUGCAGCCAGUGGUGGUGCCUCAUUGCAGGGCUGAUGUGAAGGUGUCUGCAGCCAGUGGUGGUGCCUCAUUGCAGGGCCUGAUGUGAAGGUGUCUGCAGCCAGUGGUGGUGCCUCAUUGCAGGGCCUGAUGUGAAGGUGUCUGCAGCCAGUGGUGGUGCCUCAUUGCAGGGCCUGAUGUGAAGGUGUCUGCAGCCAGUGGUGGUGCCUCAUUGCAGGGCCUGAUGUGAAGGUGUCUGCAGCCAGUGGUGGUGCCUCAUUGCAGGGCCUGAUGUGAAGGUGUCUGCAGCCAGUGGUGGUGCCUCAUUGCAGGGCUGAUGUGAAGGUGUCUGCAGCCAGUGGUGGUGCCUCAUUGCAGGGCCGAUGUGAAGGUGUCUGCAGCCAGUGGUGGUGCCUCAUUGCAGGGCCUGAUGUGAAGGUGUCUGCAGCCAGUGGUGGUGCCUCAUUGCAGGGCUGAUGUGAAGGUGUCUGCAGCCAGUGUUGGGUGUCCUCUGUGCCUGGUGGUGCCUCAUUGCAGGGCUGAUGUGAAGGUGUCUGCAGCCAGUGGUGGUGCCUCAUUGCAGGGCUGAUGUGAAGGUGUCUGCAGCCAGUGGUGGGUGUCCUCUGUGCCUGGUGGUGCCUCAUUGCAGGGCUGAUGUGAAGGUGUCUGCAGCCAGUGGUGGGUGUCCUCUCUUCCUGGUGGUGCAGCCUGAUGUGUUGCCUGCUUCAGUGUAAAUCUUGCAAGCCAGAUCUUCCAGCUGUCUCCAGUGUAGUAGUCUAGGGUGCUUUGCUUUGUGUCUUUGGCAAUAAAUAAAAUUGUGAGUAUCAUUCUCAUGUGAAUUAUAUAGUUUGAUAAAAUUACAGAAUGUGCUUGGGUAAACUAAAUUUAUAUAUUGGUGGUAAACAAUUCAUGCAUCCCCAAGUAAAUAAAUAAAAAAAUAAAUAGGACCCAAAACAA